AACGAACGCUGGCGGCAGGCCUAAACACAUGCAAGUCGAACGUGAAGCCACCUUCCGGGUGGUGGAAAGUGGCAGACGGGUGAGUAACGCGUGGGAACGUGCCUUUCGGUUCGGAAUAACCCAGGGAAACUUGGGCUAAUGCCGGAUACGCCUCCCGGGGAAAGAUUUAUCGCCGAAAGAUCGGCCCGCGUCGGAUUAGCUUGUUGGUGGGGUAAAAGCCUACCAAGGCGACGAUCCGUAGCUGGUCUGAGAGGAUGAUCAGCCACACUGGGACUGAGACACGGCCCAGACUCCUACGGGAGGCAGCAGGUGGGGAAUAUUGGACAAUGGGCGCAAGCCUGAUCCAGCCAUGCCGCGGUGGGUGAAGAAGGCCCUAGGGUUGUAAAUCCCUUUCAGCGGGACGAUAAUGACGGUACCCGCAGAAGAAGCCCCGGCUAACUCCGUG
rnacentral:rRNA from 1 species